rnacentral:rRNA from 1 species
UACGGAAGGUCCGAGCGUUACUCGGAAUUACUGGGCGUAAAGAGCGCGUAGGCGGAUAGGCCAGUUGGGUGUGAAAGCCCCGGGCUCAACCUGGGACCUGCAUCCAAUACUGCCUGGCUAGAGUACGAGAGAGGAGAGUAGAAUUCCUAGUGUAGCGGUGAAAUGCGUACAUAUUAGAAGGAAUCACCAGUGGCGAAGGCGCCCCCCUGGCUCGAUACUGACGCUGAGGAGCGAAAGCGUGGGGAGCAAACAGGAUUAGAUACCCUGGUAGUCCACGCCGUAGACGAUGUCUACUAGCCGUUGGAGGACUUGAUUCUUUAGUGGGGCAACAUAACGCACUAAGUACACCGCCUGGGGAGAACGGCCGCAAGGUUAAAACUCAAAUGAAUAGACGGGGGCCCGCACAAGCGGGGGAGCAUGUGCGUUUAUUUCUAUGCAACGCGAAGAACCUUACCACGACUCGACAUCCUGCGAACUUUCUAGAGAUAGAUUGGUGCCUUCGGGAACUCAGAGCCAGGUGCUCCAUGGCUGUCUGUCAGCUCGUGUUGUGAAAUGUUGGGUUAAGUCCCGUAACGAGCGCAACCCUCGUCCUUAGUCGCCACCGAUUAAUGUCGGGAACUCUAAGGAGACUGCCGGUGACAAUCCGGAGGAAGGUGGGGAGGACGUCAAGUCAUCAUGGCCCUUACGUCUUGGUCUACACACGUGCUCCAAUGGGAAGUCCAAAGGGUCCCAAAUCCCCGAGGUGGAGCUAAUCCCAUAAAACUUUUUCUAGUCCGGAUUGGAGUCUGCAACUCGACUCCAUGAAGUCGGAAUCGUUAGUAUUCGUGAAUCAGAAUGUCACGGUGAAUACGUUCCCGGGCCU